ACGGAAUAGAUACCCAGGUAGUCCACGCCCUAAACGAUGUCUACUAGUUGUUGGUGGAGUAAAAUCCAUGAGUAAACGCAGCUAAACGCGUGAAGUAGACCGCCUGGGGAGUACGGUCGCAAGAUUAAAAACUCAAAUGAAUUGACGGGGGCCCGCACAAGCGGUGGAUUAUGUGGAUUAAUUCGAUGCAACGCGAAAACCUUAACCUGGCCUUGACAUGUAACGAACUUUCCAGAGAUGGAUUGGUGCUCGAAAGAGAACGUUAACACAGGUGCUGCAUGGCUGUCGUCAGCUCGUGUCGUGAGAUGUUGGGUUAAGUCCCGCAACGAGCGCAACCCUUGCCAUUAAUUGCCAUCAUUAGUUGGGCACUUUAAUGGGACUGCCGGUGACAAACCGGACGGAAGGUGGGGAUGACGUCAAGUCCUCAUGGCCCUUAUGGUCCAGGGCUUCACAC
rnacentral:rRNA from 1 species